UAUGGCCACACUGCGUUUAAACACCGGUUUUCAUGUGAUCACUGAAGUUAAGCAACGGUGAGUCUGGUCCGUACUUUGAUAGAUGGCCGCUUGGAUAUACGAAGUGCUGUAAG